UACGUAGGUGGCAAGCGUUAUCCGGAAUUAUUGGGCGUAAAGAGUGAGCAGGCGGCAGUCAAAGUCUGUAGUUAAAACGUGUGGCUCAACCAUACGUUGCUAUGGAAACUAGACAGCUAGAGUGCAGGAGAGGUUAGCGGAAUUCCAUGUGUAGCGGUAAAAUGCGUAGAUAUAUGGAGGAACACCAGUGGCGAAGGCGGCUAACUGGCCUGUAACUGACGCUCAGUCACGAAAGCGUGGGGAGCAAAUAGGAUUAGAUACCC
rnacentral:rRNA from 1 species